UACAGAGGGUGCAAGCGUUAAUCGGAAUUACUGGGCGUAAAGCGUGCGCAGACGGUUGCGUAAGUCAGAUGUGAAAGCCCCGGGCUCAACCUGGGAAUUGCAUUUGAGACUGCGUAGCUAGGGUGCGGAAGAGGGAAGCGGGAAUUUCCGGUGUAGCGGUGAAAUGCGUAGAUAUGGAAGGAACACCAGUGGCGAAAGCGGCUUCC
rnacentral:rRNA from 1 species